rnacentral:lncRNA from 1 species
AUGUUCAUGCUCUGUACUUACCUCAGUCUCCUUGUGUCUCCAGUUUCCUCAUCAAGUCACCGCUUCACUCCCCUGCAGCUUAAUUACCUGGAUGCUGGUCUCCUUGCCAAGAUUCUCUGCACCUCUCUGCAACCCACUCCUCAGAAUCAAAACCACUCAUCGCUUUCACCUGCCUACCCUUCUGCCCGUUGUUUCCUCUGGAUUAUCAAGAAAACAAGGUUGGAACUGCAUUCAUUCACUCACCUCUUGGACACUCACUCGGUUGCCCUCCCCAAAGCCUCACAACCUCUGCCUGCAAUGCCUCCACGUCAGAGACUCAACACCGCGUGUCUACAUUUGAGUACCCUCCCACGUACUGGCCUCCGGGCCCCCUUGACAUAGGUGUGUAAAGGAAGAAAUGGAAGAUAUUUGAUAGGACCCUUUGAGUAAAUGUUUUCUUUCUCUCAUUCCAGUAUCAUCAAAAUAAGCCUGCAGACUGAAAUGGAAACCCCACCCCACCCCAAACAUACAAGUUCAUUUCAGCCGUGCCCCUUUAAUGUCAGUCUUCUGUUAUGAAGCCAGGGAUAAGCAGAAAAAUAAAUAAAUAAAUAAAUGAAUGAAAAUUAAAAAGAAACAGAAAAAACCCUAUUAAAUUCAUUUCUGUGUGAAAGCUUGGAGCAAAGAGAUAGUAAAUAUCCAAUCACGGUGUCAUAGAGAAGGAUAUUAGUUUAUGCCGUGCUCUCUGUAUCUGUUUCUGUUUUAUUUGAAUUUGAGCUGUGUGUGUGUGUGUGUGUGUGUGUGUGUGUGUGUGUGUGUGCACCAGCAUGUGUGUCCACAUGUGUACUGAAAUAUUCAAAGUUGAGCUGAGGUACUUUACUCUUGCACUUGGUAAUUGUGACGACCCUCUAGACCUCACCUUCCUAUCUGUCUGUUUGUUAGGCUGCUGUUUCUUGCAGAUCCUGCAGAGGAGGUGAAAUCUAUGUAAAAUCAGCAGUAGUGGUCAGUGUGCAGUGCUCCAUAAAAACACCUUGGAAGUAGGUUGCUGUGUGGGGCUCCUCCUUUAGCCACUCUUUUGGAUUUUUGUUGCAGUUCAGUUUGUUUUCUUGCAUAAAAUCACUGCAUUCAUCACACCUUCAUUCACUCACUCACUUACACCAUCGGUGUGGUGUAUAGUUCACUGGAAUGGGCAAGCAAUCCAGGUUCUUAAAGACUGUAGCAGCCUGGGUUUGGUUCCAUCCCAGACUAUUUCCUGCAUCAUUCUCUCUCUCUCCUGUCUGUUCUCUGUUUUUGCUGUCUAUUAAUAAUAGCUAAAAAUGGCCAAAUAGGACUUAAUUAGGUAAACAAUCUCUUGUUAUUAAUGCAUUGUCAAACAUGCAGCUUGCUUGGCAGCAAGUGUCUUUAAACAGCAUGACAAUGAUAUUUAAUAAAAUAAAUCACAUAAAAUAUCCCACUUAAGGCAGACAAAAGUUACAGCUUUUAACUUUUAGAUUUAAACUAGGUGUGGGACUAAAAAUAUUAAUCUAAAGCGCAAAUGUUUUUUUAAUUUUAAAGGGUUUUAGUCGGCGACAGAAUAAAUAAUAGACAUGGACAUGAAUAUUGUAAACUCAACCUCUUUUAAUUUAUGGGGAAAAAAAUUUAAACUGCAUUUCAGUGCAAAACAGAGAAACAAAAGUAAUAUCCCCGGCCAAAACUGGGCAGACUUAAAAAUAAAGUGCUAUUUUAAGUACUUUAAGUACAUUUGGGUACUUUCGUACCUGGUAUAUAUAAAUGGUUUUGUCUUUAAAUAAUAAUAAUACAAAUUUCAUAAACAGAAAGUGCAGUUUUUCUUCUUAAAAAAAAUAAGGCAGAAACAUAAAAGGUUAUUUGACCAGCUUCACCUUUAAACUCUGGGUAACCUCAGCCAACCUUAUUUUGUACAUUAGGCUAAAACACUGUGAUCAUUGAACAUUUUAGUGUAAAAAAUAAUAAACCCAUUGGACUCACAAUACCUCCAUGCUUAUUUACUGUCCGUCUCUUUCAGACAGUUACUUAA